CCCUUUGUAGCUCAGCUGGAAGAGCGUGGGACUGUAAUGGUUACCAUAAUCCCAAGGCCAUCGGUUCGAUCCCGAUCGAAGGGA